CUAGACCGAUGGGCCUCGAUCCCAUAAAAACUUAGUUAACAACUAAACACCCAAGCCAGCGGGCUUCAAUCUA
rnacentral:tRNA from 1 species